AUGGUAUCACAUGGUCUAAUAGAGUCAUUGCUCAAGACAUAUAUACAGCAGAUAGUACAUUACUGUGCAAACCUUUACCUUUCAGCAGUUAUAUCCGCAAAUGUUUUGGGUGUCCAGGUCAUUAUCUUGUUUUCUACUAUCAGCAAGCUCCCUUCAUACUUUACAUUGUUAAUCUUGAAUCCAGUGUCAUCGUUACGUUUGGAAGCGGAGCUGGUCUUCGGGGACGGUGUCGAUGAGGUUGAUCUGGUCGUAGAGCGAGAAGGUCCUCCUGAUCAAGCCAAAUCCACAUCCCGGUCAAAUCAAAUCCAGCACGCGUCAUCCACCAGCAUCGCCUACGAAGGAGGGGGAAGCCGAUGCGUACCUGAGAGACGGGAGGUGCCUGAGCCUGGGAGCGUUGGAGUUGGAGAUGGAAUCGCUCCGCAGCGACCUCACCAGCGUCGCCAGCGCCUUUUGCCCCCGCGCCGCCGCCAUGUCCUCCUCCUCUUCCUCGCCGCCGGUCGGUGGGGGCGUGUCCUGUUCUAG
rnacentral:rRNA from 1 species